rnacentral:lncRNA from 1 species
UCCAUUCCAUAAUAAUUGACUUUUUAGAAGAAAAAAAAUUAUUUCAAUUUAUUUAUCGUUUACAACUUUAUAGGAGAAUAAAUUAUUUACUUUCCUAUAUUACCCCUUUCAUUGUCACAAUAAAUUUUCUCUAUUAUGAUUAUUAGUUUUGAAUAAUGCUAGAGACACAAACUAUUCUACAAAUAUUUUACAAAUUGCUGAUAUGACAUACUCCACCUCAGUAUAUUGUGCGGGACCGAAGACUACAUUGAAGCAAUUUGUUGAUCAAUAUGCUGAGGUAGUGGAGUAGGCCACAUCAGCAGUUCGUAAAAUAUUUAUAGAAUAGUUUGUGUCUGUAGUAUCACUCAUUAGUUUUUAGAAUUUCAUACAAAUUUUAAUUAUUAAAUAAUAGUAUUAAAUAACUUUCUUAAAACGACUAUUAUUAUUAAAUGGAGGUAGUAAGUUGGUGGUAUAUGUUUAUUAUAUGUCACAUAUAUCAUCAAACUUGGGGACCAAUAUUCUAUGAAUAAUUCAGCCACUUCUAAUAUCCUUUGGAAUUAGGCACAGUUAGACUAUGAAUUCCAAGCUAACAUUUUCUCAUACUCCUUUAGGAAUUGAUUAUGGUUAUAGUAAAUCAUAAGGGGGUUGACAUGGGUAAAAAUUUACACUAAUUAAAUAUCUCUAUAGAUUUAAAAAAACAUCUUCUAGUCUUAACACUCAAAUUAAAUGGUAAAUGAUGCUAAAAAUCAACUAACUUAUAUUUAUUUUCUGUUUUAAACAACCCACUUCAAAUUUUUUUUUCUU